GAGCUUUGGCAGCCAAUGGGAAUGAGAAGAAUAGGUGUGGUGGCUGGUUUGCACAGGAGGGUGUUGCAUGUGGUUAUAAAGCUGGUUGUGUUACCUUCUGAUCACACAGACGAUUCCUACCUGCAGGACACAUUCACACGGUGUAACAGGGGGGAAAAAAAAAAGCUUGCAAAAUGAAUGACAACAAAAAAGUCAAGGACGAAGUGGAGAAGUUUUGCAAGGAUAAACUAAGGAGGACUUCCACUUCGGAGAAAAACCGACUCCCAACUGCAGCUGAGAUUGCAGCGGAAAAGAAAGCGUUGAAAGAGGAGGCUAAAUGAAUCACUGCAUCUUUAAUCCUGGCUUCUCCUCCUCCACUGAUGUGAUCUCUCCAUCUUCUGCCUCUGUCACCAUGUGCCACCAUACAGAAUUAUACCGUCUGUAACCCAAUAGGAUUUUUUUAUUUUUUUACUCGGUUUAGAAAUGAACAGACAAACGUGUUUUGCACAGUCCAAGAUAAAAAAUAACCUGAACAUUUGUAUGAAUUGAAUUAGAUGUCAUGUCUAUAUAGUACAAUUUGGAAAUAUUGUGCAAAAUGGAAUUCAAUUAUAUUUUUGUAACUUUUUAAAAAAUAAACUAAAUGUGUCAACAUCGACCUCAUUUACAUUCCCACAUUAAAUUCCCAAUGUUGUGA